CGGCUAAUAUCACCACGUGACACCAGUUCCUGUCGCACUGCAGGGUCUCAUUGGAACGCUUAAGUGUAUCGAAGUUCCACCGACUGGUGAUCACAGCAUACAACAACGUUGUAUACGUCGCGCUGCGGUGUAUACUUCAAACACCACUGGCAUUAUCUAGCCAGAGGGAGCGAAGUGUACCGUAGAGAGUACCGACCAACAUGACUGAGAUCUGUCCCCACUGUGGAGUGGGGUUCAAGCGUCUGGCAUCUCACGAGUGGAGGUGCAAGGAAAAGAAAACAUCAUCCAGCCUCAAGUCUGGUUCCUCAUUCAGUUCCAGCACACCCUCAUCAUCAGUGGUUGGCAGUUCGGGAACUGGGCGACAUAACACUCCACAAGCAGGUAACAGUUCGGGAACUGGGCGACAUAACACUCCACCAGCAGGUAACAGUUCGGGAACUGGGCGACAUAACACUCCACCAGCAGGUAACAGUUCGGGAACUGGGCGACAUAACACACCAUCAGCAGGUAACAUUACCGGUGCCUGGCGGCCUACCGCACCAUCGGCG